UUCUCUGUCAACAACUCCAUCAUCGUCACCGCGCCUGAAUGAUCUGGUUUGUAUAUCCUGUUCAUCUUUCAAAAAUUCCCAGUAGUUCUGUUCAUUUGCAGCAUUCAAGUAAGCUCCUGUUUGUUUUAUUCUUCUUUCACUAUCUAACACAGAUGAUCUCAAGCUGCCAUUGGCAGUAACUGGAGCAUCUAGAUGUGUCUCUCUCUUAAGAACAUUCCUUAGUCUCUCUGACAAGAAUUUCCUUGUAUCUCUGUUGACGAACUCCGGGGAAUCUGGGCUGUUAACCUGAAUUUCGCUUCUAUAUGAUCGUGUUGAUUCUGAUCGGAGCAAAUUCAUUCCAAGGUCCCUUGUAACACUUUCUCUGACAUGGUUUGCUAUAUGUCGAGCAAUUUGUUUUGGAUCUGAUGGCUUUUCCUUGUAAGGUGUCUCGAUUCCACUUCCUCUGACUCCAGAGCUUCGUUUGAGAGUUUUACCUUGCAACUCAGACUUAAGUCGUUCCUUCACCUCCUCAAGAAAAUCCUCUAUACUAGCUCUGUCCUCAAAGGUUCCUGAGGAACUGGUCCAGG
rnacentral:lncRNA from 1 species